GACGAACGCUGGCGGCGUGCCUAAUACAUGCAAGUCGAGCGGACUUUUUAAAAGCUUGCUUUUAAAAAGUUAGCGGCGGGCGGGUGAGUAACACGUGGGCAACCUGCCCUGUAGACUGGGAUAACCUCGGGAAACCGAAGCUAAUACCGGAUAAUCAAUUGAAGCACCUACUUCUAUUGUAAAAGUUGGGAUACUAACACUACAGGAUGGGCCCGCGGCGCAUUAGCUAGUUGGUAAGGUAAUGGCUUACCAAGGCGACGAUGCGUAGCCGACCCGAGAGGGUGACCGGCCACACUGGGACUGAGACACGGCCCAGACUCCUACGGGAGGCAGCAGUAGGGAAUCUUCCGCAAUGGACGAAAGUCUGACGGAGCAACGCCGCGUGAACGAUGAAGGCCUUCGGGUCGUAAAGUUCUGUUGUUAGGGAAGAACAAGUACCGUUCGAAUAGGGCGGUACCUUGACGGUACCUAACCAGAAAGCCACGGCUAACUACGUG
rnacentral:rRNA from 1 species